AACGAACGCUGGCGGCAUGCCUAACACAUGCAAGUCGAACGAGACCUUCGGGUCGAGGGGCGCACGGGGGCGUAACGCGGGGGAAUCUACCCUCAGGCUCGCCAUAACUCAGAGAAAAUUGAGCUAAUACCGGAUGAUGACGGAAGUCCAAAGAUUGAUCGACUGAGGAUGAGCGCGCGUAGGAUUAGGUAGUUGGUGGGGUAACGGCACACCAAGCCGACGAUCCUUAGCUGGUCUGAGAAGAUGACAAGCUAGACUUGGACUGAGACACGGACCAGACUCGUACGCAAGGAAGCAGAGGGGAAUAUUGGACACGAGGGGCAGGCGUGAUCAAGCCAUGCCGCGUGAGUCAUCCAGGCUGUAGGGUUGUACAGCUCUUUUAACCGAGAUGAUAAUGACAGUACUGGGAGAAUAAGCUCCGGCUAACUACGUG
rnacentral:rRNA from 1 species